rnacentral:rRNA from 1 species
GCAUAUCAAUAAGCGGAGGAAAAGAAACCAACAGGGAUUACCUCAGUAACGGCGAAGUGAAGCGGUAACAGCUCAAAUUUGAAAUCUGGCUCUUUUAGGGUCCGAGUUGUAAUUUGUAGAAGAUGCUUUGGGUGUGGCCCUGGUCUAAGUUCCUUGGAACAGGACGUCAUAGAGGGUGAGAAUCCCGUAUGUGACUAGGUGCCUUCGCCCGUGUAAAGCUCUUUCGACGAGUCGAGUUGUUUGGGAAUGCAGCUCAAAAUGGGUGGUAAAUUUCAUCUAAAGCUAAAUAUUGGCCAGAGACCGAUAGCGCACAAGUAGAGUGAUCGAAAGAUGAAAAGCACUUUGGAAAGAGAGUUAAACAGUACGUGAAAUUGUUGAAAGGGAAGCGCUUGCAACCAGACUUAGUUGCUGCCGAUCAUCUAGGGUUCUCCCUGGUGCACUCGGUAGUAUCUAGGCCAGCAUCGGUUUGGGUGGUGGGAUAAAGGCCUUGGGAAUGUAGCUUCUUUCGGGGAGUGUUAUAGCCCUCGGUGCAAUGCCGCCUACCCGGACCGAGGACCGCGCUUUGGCUAGGAUGCUGGCGUAAUGGUUGUAAGCGACCCGUCUUGAAACACGGACCAAGGAGUCUAACAUCUAUGCGAGUAUUUGGGUGUUAAACCCAUAUGCGUAAUGAAAGUGAACGGAGGUGAGAACCCUUAAGGGUGCAUCAUCGACCGAUCCUGAUGUCUUCGGAUGGAUUUGAGUAAGAGCAUAGCUGUUGGGACCCGAAAGAUGGUGAACUAUGCCUAAAUAGGGUGAAGCCAGAGGAAACUCUGGUGGAGGCUCGCAGCGGUUCUGACGUGCAAAUCGAUCGUCAAAUUUGGGUAUAGGGGCGAAAGACUAAUCGAACCAUCUAGUAGCUGGUUUCCUGCCGAG